GAUAAACGCUGGCGGCGUGCUUAACACAUGCAAGUCGAACGAAGUUUUUCCUUCGGGAGAAACUUAGUGGCGGACGGGUGAGUAACGCGUGGGUAACCUGCCCUGUACAGGGGGACAACAGCUGGAAACGGCUGCUAAUACCGCAUAAGCACUUAGCACUGCAUGGUGCAUAGGGAAAAGGAGCAAUCCGGUACAGGAUGGACCCGCGUCUGAUUAGCCAGUUGGCAGGGUAACGGCCUACCAAAGCGACGAUCAGUAGCCGAUCUGAGAGGAUGUACGGCCACAUUGGGACUGAGACACGGCCCAGACUCCUACGGGAAGCAGCAGUGGGGAAUAUUGCACAAUGGAGGAAACUCUGAUGCAGCGACGCCGCGUGAGUGAAGAAGUAUUUCGGUAUGUAAAGCUCUAUCAGCAGGGAAGAAAAUGACGGUACCUGACUAAGAAGCACCGGCUAAAUACGUG
rnacentral:rRNA from 1 species